rnacentral:rRNA from 1 species
UGGGGAAUAUUGCACAAUGGGCGCAAGCCUGAUGCAGCCAUGCCGCGUGUGUGAAGAAGGCCUUCGGGUUGUAAAGCACUUUCAGCGAGGAGGAAGGUGGUGAGCUUAAUACGCUCAUCAAUUGACGUUACUCGCAGAAGAAGCACCGGCUAACUCCGUGCCAGCAGCCGCGGUAAUACGGAGGGUGCAAGCGUUAAUCGGAAUUACUGGGCGUAAAGCGCACGCAGGCGGUUUGUUAAGUCAGAUGUGAAAUCCCCGGGCUCAACCUGGGAACUGCAUUUGAAACUGGCAAGCUAGAGUCUCGUAGAGGGGGGUAGAAUUCCAGGUGUAGCGGUGAAAUGCGUAGAGAUCUGGAGGAAUACCGGUGGCGAAGGCGGCCCCCUGGACGAAGACUGACGCUCAGGUGCGAAAGCGUGGGGAGCAAAACAGGAUUAGAUACCCUGGUAGUCCACGCUGUAAAAC